AGAGUUUGAUCAUGGCUCAGAGCGAACGCUGGCGGCGUGCUUAACACAUGCAAGUCGAACGCGCAGUUCGGUGUAGCAAUACACUGGAUGGGCGCGUGGCGAACGGGUGCGUAACACGUGGAUAACCUUCCUUCAGGUGGGGAAUAACCCAGCGAAAGUUGGGCUAAUACCGCAUCACAUUACGAGGGCACAUGCUCUUGUACUCAAACCCGCAAGGGGCCAGAAGAGGGAUCCGCGGCCGAUUAGCUAGUUGGCGAGGUAAUGGCUCACCAAGGCAAUGAUCGGUAGCCGGACUGAGAGGUUGGCCGGCCACACCGGAACUGAGACACGGUCCAGACUCCUACGGGAGGCAGCAGUGGGGAAUCUUGCGCAAUGGGCGAAAGCCUGACGCAGCAACGCCGCGUGGGGGAUGAAGCUUCUCGGAGUGUAAACCCCUUUCGACCCGGAAGAAUGCCCGCAAGGGCUUGACGGUACGGGUAUAAGAAGCCCCGGCUAACUACGUGCCAGCAGCCGCGGUAAUACGUAGGGGGCCAGCGUUGCUCGGAAUUACUGGGCGUAAAGGGUCCGUAGGCGGUGUGGCAAGUCGGGAGUGAAAUCUCUGGGCUUAACUCAGAGGCUGCUUCCGAAACUGCCGUACUAGAGUGUGAGAGAGGCGAGUGGAAUUGCGGGUGUAGCGGUGAAAUGCGUAGAUAUCCGCAGGAACAUCCGAGGCGAAAGCGGCUCGCUGGAUCACAACUGACGCUGAGGGACGAAAGCUAGGGGAGCAAACAGGAUUAGAUACCCUGGUAGUCCUAGCCCUAAACCAUCACGACUUGGGGUUUGCCCUGUACGGGGCAAGUCCCGUAGCUAACGCGUUAGGUCCUGCGCCUGGGGAGUACGGUCGCAAGACUGAAACUCAAGGAAUUGACGGGGGCCCGCACAAGCGGUGGAACAUGUGGUUCAAUUCGACGCAACGCGAAGAACCUUACCUGGGCUUGAACCGCACAGGGACCAUCGU
rnacentral:rRNA from 1 species